GCGCCCGUAGCUCAACGGUAGAGCAGUGCCCUCUUAAGGCAUUGGUUGAGGGUCCGAAUCCCUCCGGACGCACCA
rnacentral:tRNA from 1 species